rnacentral:rRNA from 1 species
GACGAACGCUGGCGGCGUGCCUAAUACAUGCAAGUCGAACGAAGCUGUUUUAACUGGUGCUUGCACCGACUUAAACAACUGAGUGGCGAACGGGUGAGUAACACGUGGGUAACCUGCCCCAAAGCGGGGGAUAACAUUUGGAAACAGAUGCUAAUACCGCAUAACCACAGAAACCACAUGGUUUCUGUGUCAAAGAUGGUUUCGGCUAUCACUUUGGGAUGGACCCGCGGCGUAUUAGCUAGUUGGUAAGGUAAUGGCUUACCAAGGCAAUGGUACGUAGGCGAACUGAGAGGUUGAUCGGCGACAUUGGGACUGAGACACGGCCCAAAAUCCUACGGGAGGCAGCAGUAGGGAAUCUUCCACAAUGGACGAAAGUCUGAUGGAGCAACGCCGCGUGAGUGAAGAAGGUUUUCGGAUCGUAAAACUCUGUUGUCAGAGAAGAACGUGUGCGAGAGUAACUGUUCGUGCAGUGACGGUAUCUGGCCAGAAAGCCACGGCUAACUACGUGCCAGCCGCCGCCGUAA